GUGCCUUUCCAUAUUCAGGUUUUUUGUGUCGUUUUUUUUAUGCCAGGAGUGGAUGCAAAACGAGAAGAUUCCUGCUUUUGGCUUCCAAAAAACCUGAAUGUGGAAACCCAGUUAGCUUGAGGACUGGGUCACUACUUAUUGGCUCUCCCCUAGGUUUUGAAGCUACAUAACCAUUUCCAGCUGCUUAUUCAGACUUGUCUGUACAUAUCUUUGCACUAAUUGUGUAACAUCUCUGUCUAGUAAUGGAGGAUGAUAUACCUGGCUUUUGCAGAUGCAAAGAUGGGCUCUCUUUUCCGAGGGGAGGAGAUGUGCCUGGCUCAGCUAUUUCUUCAGUCUGGUUGUGAAUACCAAUGUGUAAGCGAGCUGGGUGAGCUUGGCUUGGUAGAGUUUCGAGAUCUCAAUCAGAAUGUUAACGCUUUCCAGCGUCGCUAUGUGUCAGAGAUCAGACGUUGUGAUGACAUGGAGACGACUUUUGGGUACCUAGAACAGGAACUGCGCAAAGCUGGCAUGAAGAUACCGGUUUCCUCAGCAUCUCCACCUGCCCCUUUACCCAAAGAUGCACUGAGAAUACAAGAGGAGUCUGAGCAACUGGCCAAAGAGCUAAGAGAGGUCUCGGGCAACAGACAGACUCUGCGGGAACGUCUGCGUGAGCUGCGAGAGUUUGCCAAUAUACUACGAGAAAGUCAGAGGUUCACUGGGCCACUGCCAGAGUCUGAGUCCUGGAGAGAACGAGCUGAUACUGACCCUUUAAUUGACCCUACAAUAGCCUCUAGACAUGACCUCCGAGUUAGUUUUAUGGCAGGGGUCAUUCACCCAUGGCGAAUGAAUUCCUUUGAACGUCUGUUAUGGCGAGCCUGCCGAGGAUACCUUAUUGUGAACUUUGUGGAGAUGUCUGAACCUAUGGAGGACCUUGUAACAGGGGAGAGUGUAACACAGAUUAUAUUCUUAAUUUCCUACUGGGGGGAAAGAAUAGGAGAGAAGAUUAAAAAAAUUGCUAACUGUUUCCACUGUCACAUUUAUCCCUACGCAGAAGACGAAACGGCCAGGCUUGAAACACUGAAAGACCUCUUGGUGCGGAUCCAAGACAUGCAAAAGGUGCUGUCCCAAACUGAGGGGUUCCUGACUCAAGUGCUGAAUCGAGCUGCUUUAGCCUUGCAUCCCUGGAGAGUCAGUGUGAGGAAGAUGAAGCAUAUCUAUCAGAUUCUGAACUUAUGCAGUGUGCGGGAACGAUGCCUGAUAGGUGAAGUGUGGUGUCCAGUGUCCGAUCUGCCCAUGCUCCAGGGAGCGCUGGCUCAAGCAUCGAUGCACAGUGGCGGGGGUGGAGAAUCAUUUUGUCAACAGAUUCCCUGUUCUGUCAGUCCUCCUACUUUAAUUCGCACCAACAAGUUCACUUCUGGAUUUCAAGGAAUUGUGGAUGCGUACGGCAUAGCCAGUUACCAAGAAGUUAACCCUGCCCUCUACACAAUUAUAACAUUCCCGUUCCUGUUUGCGGUGAUGUUUGGAGAUGUAGGUCAUGGACUUCUCAUGUCCCUAUUUGCUCUUUGGUUGGUUCUUGGUGAGGACAACCCAAAACUUAAAAACUCAGAGAAUGAGAUUUUUUCCAUGUGCUUUGGUGGUCGUUACCUGGUCCUAUUGAUGGGACUGUUAUCUGUAUACACAGGUUUUGUGUACAAUGAGUGUUUCAGCCGAGCAACGGUGAUUUUUCCAUCAGGCUGGAGUGUUGCUGCAAUGGCAAAAGAAAAGAACUGGACACGUGAGUUCUUGUCUACAUCCACGUCUGCUCCACUAGAUCCCAACAUUACCAAUGUCUUCACAGCAGUAUACCCUUUUGGCAUUGAUCCGAUCUGGAGUCUUGCCUCAAACCGCCUCACUUUUUUAAACUCCUUUAAAAUGAAAAUGUCUGUCAUUUUGGGGGUUUGUCACAUGUCCUUUGGAGUCUGUUUAAGCAUCUUCAACUACAUUCACUUCAAACAGAAGUAUCGCAUUUUUGUGGUGUCUGUGCCUGAGCUCCUGUUCCUCCUCUGCCUCUUUGGGUAUUUGGUAUUCAUGAUUUUCUACAAAUGGUUUGCCUUUGAUAUAACAGAGGCUCAGAGUGCACCGAGUCUUCUCAUUCAUUUUAUUGACAUGUUCCUGUUCACCAAGAAUGAAACCAACAGAGAUCUAUACCAUGGACAACAAAUUGUUCAGAUGGUGCUGGUGGUUAUAGCUCUACUGUGUGUUCCAGUUCUUCUCCUGGGAGACCCAAUCUGUCUCUAUAUUCAACACCGCAAAAAGAAAAACAACCAGAGGCAUGGGGGACAGGAUGUUGAAAGAAGGGGCCUACUGGCAGGAGAUGAUGAGCAAUAUAUAGGACAUUCAGAACAUGAGCAGGAAAAAGGGACACAUGAUGGCAAAAAGUUUGAUACAGGGGAGGUUUUUAUGCAUCAGAUGAUUCAUACCAUAGAGUACUGCCUGGGGUGCAUCUCCAAUACAGCAUCCUACCUACGACUGUGGGCACUCAGCCUGGCUCAUGCACAGUUGUCCGAAGUUCUGUGGAAUAUGGUGAUGAAUAUUGGAUUGUCUAUGUUAACUUUCAAGGGGAGUGUCCUUCUUGUACCCAUCUUUGCCUUUUUUGCUAUGCUGACUGUUGCCAUCUUGCUGGUCAUGGAAGGCCUCUCAGCAUUUCUUCAUGCGCUCCGUCUGCAUUGUGACAACCAAAAUAUGAAAUGCGCGGAAGAAAGCAGGCAACUACUGUUCGAAUGGAUCAAAGAAUAACCCAAAUGACAAAGUCCCACUCAAUGAUUACUUCCAGAAAGAUCAAAGAUCUGAAGUUACCAAGUGCAAUGCCAAGCAGCUAGCCUGGAAAGACACGAAUUAGGACAUCAGGUGUCUCUCAUUAUUAAAUUGCGAUGUCUGUUACUAAAUGAUUGAUGAUGUCAUAACCAUGUGACUGCUAUUUAGGUCUAUAUAAUGUGAGAAAGUGUCAGUAUGUACUGUGCAGUUGAGGAAGGCUGACAUGCCGCAACGCGUUCUGUGAACCGUUUAAUAAACUACAUUCUGAAGAGCAA